rnacentral:lncRNA from 1 species
AACUUUGAGAAGCAAGUACAUGUAGAAGAUAGAAAAUACCACAAAGGCGAAGUCUUCGAGGCUGACCAUGCCGCUCGCCGCCACGAUGAUCAUAACGGCGAGACAAUUGAGUUGCCUGAGGGUGAGAAAUCGAGUCGGUUUAAGAGGAUUGGGGUGGGAUGAUUUUUCAUGGCCUUGAAUUCCUUCAUUUGGUAGGCUUAUAUCAUUGCAGGUUGUACCAACCCCUCCUGACAUCUUUUUUUCUUUCUCAGAUGUGAUGACGAAUAGUAGCAGGUUUGUUUAUCUUUCCUCUAGCAAAGAAAGAAAGUGAAAGAAAUAUUGUAUGAAGAUUUUUCCUGGAAAAGUUACAGUGCAGAGGAGAGUGAGAGAAAAGGCUUGGAUGGGGUAAGUUAAGGAAGGG